rnacentral:rRNA from 1 species
CGUGCAGGCGGUUUGUUAAGUUCAGGGUGAAAGCUCCCGGCUCAACUGGGAGAGGUCCUUGGAUACUGGCAGACUUGAGGAGGGUAGAGGAGAGUGGAAUUCCCGGUGUAGUGGUGAUAUGCGUAGAUAUCGGGAGGAACACCAGUGGCGAAGGCGGCUCUCUGGGCCCUACCUGACGCUGAGACGCGAAAGCGUGGGAGCGAACC